rnacentral:rRNA from 1 species
GCAGUCGAGCGGUAGCACAGAGAGCUUGCUCUCGGGUGACGAGCGGCGGACGGGUGAGUAAUGUCUGGGAAACUGCCUGAUGGAGGGGGAUAACUACUGGAAACGGUAGCUAAUACCGCAUAAUGUCGCAAGACCAAAGUGGGGGACCUUCGGGCCUCAUGCCAUCAGAUGUGCCCAGAUGGGAUUAGCUAGUAGGUGGGGUAACGGCUCACCUAGGCGACGAUCCCUAGCUGGUCUGAGAGGAUGACCAGCCACACUGGAACUGAGACACGGUCCAGACUCCUACGGGAGGCAGCAGUGGGGAAUAUUGCACAAUGGGCGCAAGCCUGAUGCAGCCAUGCCGCGUGUGUGAAGAAGGCCUUCGGGUUGUAAAGCACUUUCAGCGGGGAGGAAGGCGGUGAGGUUAAUAACCUUGUCGAUUGACGUUACCCGCAGAAGAAGCACCGGCUAACUCCGUGCCAGCAGCCGCGGUAAUACGGAGGGUGCAAGCGUUAAUCGGAAUUACUGGGCGUAAAGCGCACGCAGGCGGUCUGUCAAGUCGGAUGUGAAAUCCCCGGGCUCAACCUGGGAACUGCAUUCGAAACUGGCAGGCUAGAGUCUUGUAGAGGGGGGUAGAAUUCCAGGUGUAGCGGUGAAAUGCGUAGAGAUCUGGAGGAAUACCGGUGGCGAAGGCGGCCCCCUGGACAAAGACUGACGCUCAGGUGCGAAAGCGUGGGGAGCAAACAGGAUUAGAUACCCUGGUAGUCCACGCCGUAAACGAUGUCGAUUUGGAGGUUGUGCCCUUGAGGCGUGGCUUCCGGAGCUAACGCGUUAAAUCGACCGCCUGGGGAGUACGGCCGCAAGGUUAAAACUCAAAUGAAUUGACGGGGGCCCGCACAAGCGGUGGAGCAUGUGGUUUAAUUCGAUGCAACGCGAAGAACCUUACCUGGUCUUGACAUCCACAGAACUUUCCAGAGAUGGAUUGGUGCCUUCGGGAACUGUGAGACAGGUGCUGCAUGGCUGUCGUCAGCUCGUGUUGUGAAAUGUUGGGUUAAGUCCCGCAACGAGCGCAACCCUUAUCCUUUGUUGCCAGCGGUUAGGCCGGGAACUCAAAGGAGACUGCCAGUGAUAAACUGGAGGAAGGUGGGGAUGACGUCAAGUCAUCAUGGCCCUUACGACCAGGGCUACACACGUGCUACAAUGGCAUAUACAAAGAGAAGCGACCUCGCGAGAGCAAGCGGACCUCAUAAAGUAUGUCGUAGUCCGGAUUGGAGUCUGCAACUCGACUCCAUGAAGUCGGAAUCGCUAGUAAUCGUAGAUCAGAAUGCUACGGUGAAUACGUUCCCGGGCCUUGUACACACCGCCCGUCACACCAUGGGAGUGGGUUGCAAAAGAAGUAGGUAGCUUAACCUUCGGGAGGGCGCU